rnacentral:lncRNA from 1 species
GUAAACCAAUGCAGUGGAUGUUCAGAUGACUUGGAGGAUGGCACAGUGCAUUGCAUUCAUACAUUAGCAUCAUUCACAUUUUGCAUUUAUAUGCAUCUAACACAUGUUUAUCCAUAUGCAGGGGACAUUCUUGAUCGAGAUCCUGGUUGAGAGACUUCUUUGUUCCAGACAUGAGGACCGGCUUGAAAGACGACGUCGUCUACAG